rnacentral:misc_RNA from 1 species
UUCGAGCGUCAUUUCAACCCUCAAGCUCAGCUUGGUAUUGGAUGUCACCUGGCAAUGGUGCAUCCUAAAAUCAGUGGCGGUGCAUCUGGCUUCAAGUGUAGUAAAACUCUCGCUUUGGAGGUUUGGAUGUGUGCUUGCCAUCAACCCUUAAUUUAUCAAAGGUUGACCUCGGAUCAGGUAGGGAUACCCGCUGAACUUAA